rnacentral:rRNA from 1 species
UACGUAGGGGGCAAGCGUUGUCCGGAUUUAUUGGGCGUAAAGAGCGUGUAGGCGGCUGGGUAGGUCCGUUGUGAAAACUCGAGGCUCAACCUCGAGACGCCGAUGGAAACCCUCCAGCUAGAGUCCGGAAGAGGAGAGUGGAAUUCCUGGUGUAGCGGUGAAAUGCGCCAGAUAUCAGGAAGAACACCCGUGGCUAAGGCGGCUCUCUAGUACGGUACUGACGCUGAGACGCGAAAGCGUGGGGAGCGAACAGG